UACUUUGGAGAAGCCCGCCUUUUUUGCGCGGGUGCCGAAGGGGCAAGGCGGUUUUCCGCUAAUCUCUCAGGCAAAAGGACAAAG
rnacentral:ncRNA from 1 species